CAGCAGCCGCGGUAAUUCGGGAGGGGCAAGCGUUAUUCGGAAUAAUUGGGCGUAAAGGGUUCGUAGACGGUAUUUUAAGUUAAAUAUAAAAUUUUAAAGCUCAACUUUAAAAAAUCUAUUUAAUACUAUCAUACUUGAGUUGAAAAUAGAAAAGUAGAAUUUUAUGAGUAGGGAUAAAAUCUGUAAAUACAUAAAGGAAUAUCUAUAGCGAAGGCAACUUUUUAGUGACAACUGACGUUGAGGGACGAAAGUAUAGGGAGCAAACAGGAUUAGAUACCCUGGUAGUCUAUACUGUAAACGCUGAGUGCUAGAAUUUAAAAAACAAUUUUUAGAUUUUUUAAGCUAACGCAAUAAGCACUCCGCCUGAGGAGUAUAAUUGCAAGAUUGAAACUUAAAGGAAUUGACGG
rnacentral:rRNA from 1 species